rnacentral:sRNA from 1 species
CAUUGGACAUUUACAGAUCAGGAAGCAGAAGUGCAGGUUUCCCCAAAUUGGCCAGCCAAUGUACUUCAACCCUGACCUGAAGGACCCACCUUCAGU